CAAAUCCACUCUCCGACAAAUCCACCGUCAACAUUUCUUCUUCUUUGCCUCUCGUCGGAGCUCGCCGGUGGUUCGUCGGCCUCUACCUCUUCGAGUCUUCAGUCUUCACUUUGAUUCGAGACUCUGUCUCUCUGCCUCGAGUCCUCAACCUCCCAUUCGCGACUCUGUCUUCUCUCUUUUUCGGUUCUCUUCUUCUUUCGUUGGUGGCUCACCGGAGCUCAUGCUCAUCAAUUGAGAUUUUAAAAUCUCUCAGUAUUGAACAUUUGAACUCUCCAUUUCAAUGGAUCCUGCUGUGAUGUUCCUUGUGAAAAUUCACUGUUAAGACAAGUGUCAAGUCUCCUGAGAAGAUUGCCUGCUAUUGAAUCUGGAAAAUUUCAAGAUGAUUUCUUAAUG